GCAUACGGUGGAUGCCUUGGCAGUCAGAGGCGAUGAAAGACGUGGAAGCCUGCGAUAAGGUUCGGGGAGCUGGCAAACAAGCUGUGAUCCGGGCAUUUCUGAAUGGGGAAACCCACCGACUUUCGGGUCGGUAUCUUGCACUGAAUACAUAGGUGUAAGAGGCGAACCGGGGGAACUGAAACAUCUAAGUACCCCGAGGAAAAGAAAUCAACCGAGAUUCCCUAAGUAGCGGCGAGCGAACGGGGAUUAGCCCUUAAGCUAGACAACUGGUAGGAGAAGGCUCUGGAAAGUGCCGCCAUAGUGGGUGAUAGCCCCGUAUCCGAAACCUGAGUCUGGUGAAAUCGAGUAGGACGGGACACGUGAUAUCCUGUCUGAACAUGGGGGGACCAUCCUCCAAGGCUAAAUACUCCUGACUGACCGAUAGUGAACCAGUACCGUGAGGGAAAGGCGAAAAGAACCCCUGUGAGGGGAGUGAAAUAGAUCCUGAAACCGUAUGCGUACAAGCAGUCGGAGCGGACUUGUUCCGUGACGGCGUACCUUUUGUAUAAUGGGUCAGCGACUUAUGUUCAGUGGCGAGGUUAACCGUUUAGGGGAGCCGUAGGGAAACCGAGUCUGAAUAGGGCGAUUUAGUCGCUGGGCAUAGACCCGAAACCGGGCGAUCUAUCCAUGAGCAGGUUGAAGGUGCCGUAACAGGCACUGGAGGACCGAACCCACUGUCGUUGAAAAGCCAGGGGAUGACUUGUGGAUCGGAGUGAAAGGCUAAUCAAGCCCGGAGAUAGCUGGUUCUCCCCGAAAGCUAUUUAGGUAGCGCCUCGGACGAAUACCACAGGGGGUAGAGCACUGUU
rnacentral:rRNA from 13 species